GCUGUCGUCAGCUCGUGUUGUGAAAUGUUGGGUUAAGUCCCGCAACGAGCGCAACCCUUAUCCUUUGUUGCCAGCGGUCCGGCCGGGAACUCAAAGGAGACUGCCAGUGAUAAACUGGAGGAAGGUGGGGAUGACGUCAAGUCAUCAUGGCCCUUACGACCAGGGCUACACACGUGCUACAAUGGCGCAUACAAAGAGAAGCGACCUCGCGAGAGCAAGCGGACCUCAUAAAGUGCGUCGUAGUCCGGAUUGGAGUCUGCAACUCGACUCCAUGAAGUCGGAAUCGCUAGUAAUCGUGGAUCAGAAUGCCACGGUGAAUACGUUCCCGGGCCUUGUACACACCGCCCGUCACACCAUGGGAGUGGGUUGCAAAAGAAGUAGGUAGCUUAACCUUCGGGAGGGCGCUUACCACUUUGUGAUUCAUGACUGGGGUGAAGUCGUAACA
rnacentral:rRNA from 1 species